GUUGUUCUCUUUCUGGGAAGAAAUGUGUCAUUUCAUCAGAAACUGCCCAUCAUUGUAGUGAAUGUGUUCGCUCAGGUCAUUCUUGUUCAUUCAUGACUUCAGAUCUGAAUUGAAAUAAGUUGGUAGUUGCUGUUGAUCACAUUGAAUGUGAAGAAGCUGAGACCCAUGCGCGUGUUUCUGAAUUGUUUGCUUGGUUAAAUCAUUUAGAGAAACAAAAGAAAUUAUUGCAUUCCCAUGCUGGUAAAUUCCUUCAGUCUGAUAUGACAACUGUGGAGGAGUUGGAAAAAGAAGAGCAGAAAGAAAAAGAAAAACA
rnacentral:sRNA from 1 species